UUGUUCGGCUCGGUUGCACAGUAAAUUUGUUUACGCCGCUUCCAAAGCAACGGUAUCGAUCGCCCCGAUUUGCAUAUAACCAGUGCCGUUGCGUUAAUUCUUAUAUUUGUGUUCUGUGCCUUUUAGUGUUUAUGUCUUUUUAGAGUGAAUAAUUUUCAUAGUUAUUUUUGUUUGUGAUUAUGACUCCAAAAAGGAUUGGUGUGAAAGGAAAGGUUUUACAUAGCCAAGCAAGAGAAAUUAUUUGUAAUAUUUCUAAAUUUAUGGAAAGAGAAUCAAUGAAGGGAAUUCAGAUCCCAUUAAAAAAUUUCCGAUAUGUAUUAAUUUAUCUAAUAUUUUUGCAGGCAGCCUAUUAAUUAAUAAAGUUCUUAGGCUAUUGAUACUUUAAUACAUUAAUAAUUAAAAUUAAUGUUUUGUUUAAAGAAAGAAUUUUGGCUGCUACACAAAUUGGCAAAAAUUGCCUUCAGCGAAUUAAAACGGCAGGACAGCAUGCAGAUAACAACCUGGCCAGUACUUCUUUUGGAACUCCAACUCAAAAAAGCGUUAGCGCCAAAGGAGUCAUAAAAACAUUGUCCCCCGGAAAUAUUGAAGAGAUUAAAAGUGUAAUCUACAAUUUUUACGUGCUUGAAAAAAGAUCUCCUACUCUAAGAGGAGUACUUCAGAAAAUAAAAGACAAACAGAUUAACUUCUCUGGAUGCCCUGAGACAUUAAGAAAACUAUUAAGAUCUGUUGGAUUUAGAAUAUCGAGCCGAGGGAAGAAAUGUCGUAUAUACAGAUGAGACCUAUAUUCAUAGUAGCCAUACCCAAAACAAAAGCUGGUUAGAUAAUAAAAAUAAAAGUUUAAAAAAACCAAUUUCAAAAGGACGCAGAUUAUUUAUUGUUCAUGCAGGAGGAGAAAAUGGCUUCAUUCCAAAUGGAAUGCUUAUUUUUAAAUCAGGAGCUAAAAGCGGAGACUACCACGAUGAUAUGAAUCACCAACAUUUUAUGAAGUGGGUACAAACUAAACUUUUGCCCAAUUUGCCAGAGCAGUCCGUUUUGGUUAUAGAUAAUGCCUCCUACCCUAAUGUUACUAUGGAACCAAAUAUUACUUCGGGAUCCCUUAAAAAAAAUAUGAUUAAAUGGCUAUAUGACAGAUAUAUUCCAUGUGAUGAGAAAUUGACAAAGCCAGAAUUAUACAAAAUAAUUAGUGACAAUAAAUUCCGCUAUCCUCCAGUUUACAAGUUAGAUGCAUUACUGGAGGAACAUGGACAUAAAGUUCUUCGUCUGCCGCCUUAUCAUCCGGAGUUAAACCCAAUUGAAAAAAUAUGGGCCUUGGUCAAAAACGGGGUGGCAGCCCACAAUGUGACAUUUAAGUUGGCUGAUGUAGAAACUCUAACAAAAAAAGGUUUCAAGAGUUGCCAAAGGAAGAGUGGGUGAAAAUUUGUUACCAUGUAAGAAAAUAUGAAAAUCUUCAAAUACAAAAAGAACAUAUAUUAGAUACUACAAUGGACCAUUUAAAAUUCACCGUCAACACUUCUUCAUUCGACGACGAUUGGUUAAAUGAUUAUAAUAUCUUAAUGGA